GCAUUCUGGGAUGUAGAAUGAAACACAAUGGCGGCGAAACUGAAUCACCUGCAACUUUUUUUGUGGUCGAUUUGUAAACCAAGCCGACUACUUUCUGGGGUCUUUGGCUUUCGCAAAAAUGCUGAGUUGCACAAUGGCAGUGUACCGCCACCACGCGCCUCCAUACUCAAAUGUACAUGUCCCCUACAGUGAGUUCUUCCAGCUGGAGGCCCUGACACACUACCACCGUGUGGUAAGCCUAGAGAACUUCACGAAGCAGCUUGCCCCAACACUGGCCUAAGGGCAGCCUACUGAGUCAGCUGCCCAGAGGAGUGUAGACAAGAAGUCCUGCCCCAUGAAGGUGAGUGUUGUGAUUGAUGUGUAGAGUCAGAGAUGAUUACUGACGACUGUUGUUUAGGUAUUGAGCCUAGUUACCAAAAAAAUAUACUUUGAAACUGGUCAGAGAGAUUGUUUGAAAGCUAGGCCAUGGAACAGAGUCUAAUUAACUAAUUAAUUGCUUUGGUGUUGUUCAUGCCAAUGAAAAKAAUGCCAUGGCACGGUAAAACACUGCCCCCUGGUGGACUGUUACUAUAACUGUAUUUACCUACACAUCUCUCACAUACGUCUAUACUAAACAAAAAUAUCAUUGGAACAUGGGAAGUGUUGCCCAUGUUUCAUGAGCUGAAAUAAAAGAUACCAGACAUGUUCCAUAAGCAGAAAAAAAACGUAUUUCUCUMAAAU